rnacentral:lncRNA from 1 species
GCCAGACCACAGACUCACUGACUUUAUCCUACAUUUAGGGCUCUUAUUGAAGUAUGUGGAUCACAGUGAGCUCAGGAUGAAAGGCACUGACUGGAUAGAGAAAGAUCUGAGAGAUCUGCUGUGUGACCCUGAGCCCUCUCUGCGCAUCAUCGCCUCUCAGGCUCUCUUCCAAGUCCGGGAGGUAGGGACUGAACAAGACCCCAGGCAGACUGUUUGCGGCUUGAGGAAACUCAUGGGCUGUCUUUCUACUUAGAAAUGCAAGAGAGAAGCAUCCAUUAAGAAGCAGAGGUCGGGGGCACCUGGCUGGGCCUGUCGGUGGAACAUAUGACUCUUGAUCUCAGGGUCGUGAGUUCAAGCCCCACGUUGGGCAGAGAGAUUACUUUAAAAAAAAAAAAAAAAAAAAAAGCAGAGGUCUGAUUUUUUUACUGACUACCUCCGCAGUUUGGGAAAGGCUGAAGAAGUAUUUAAUAGUGAUUGUAUUAACAAAUUCAAACAUCCAAAUAUUCCAAAUAUCUCCAUUAUUUUUAUACAAGGCUCUUCUCAAACAUAGUUUUGUGUUUUCAUGGAAUUUUUUAAAUAUAUAAAACAAAAAUUUCUGGACAUUUAAUUUUGUUAUAAUAUGUUAAAAAUUCGGUAUAAGUCAAUAGGAUUUCAGUUUUAUCAUCAUCAUAUACUAUUAAAAGGUAUUGCUCAUUAUCUAUUGCUGGCCUAGCCAUGUCUUUAUUAUUUUAGAUUCUUACUUUUUUACUCUUAGUAUUGCUUUUCUUCCUUAUACUGAGAUACAUAUUUUAUUAAAAAUUAUUAUUUUGGGGGGCACCUGGGUGGCUCAGUCGGUUAAGCGUCUGACUUCGGCUCAGGUCAUGAUCUCAUAGUUUGUGAGUUUGAGCCCCGUAUCAGGCUCUGUGCUGACAGCUCAGAGCCUGGAGCCUGCUUCUGAUUCUGUGUCUCAUUCUCUCUCUGCUCCUCCCCCACUUGUGCUCUGUCUCUCAAAAAUAAAUAAAAUGUAAAAAAAAAAAAAUUAUUUUUUCUUAUUGAAAGAUUAAACUAUCAUAUAAGUAAGAGAUGGGCUUAGGGAAUGAGAGCAUCUCCUAGACAUCAACCCUGCCAAGUAAACUUGCACUGGGUAAAAUUGUAAAAUCUCUCUCUCCUUCCAGCUUCCCCCUCCUUCCUGGCUCGAAGCUCCUUUUUCUAUCUCUCCCUCUCAGGAAGGGAUCUAAUGAACUGGCUGUUAUGCGAAAAUGAUUAAUAAUGCAAGUUUUAAUGAGCCUAACUCUUCCAGGGAUGUUUGCUUUUUUUUUUAAUUUUUAAUUUUAGAAAGAGA